rnacentral:lncRNA from 1 species
UGGGUUGAAGUCUCCAUCAACGUGGAUGUACGAUAGCACCACCUAUCGGAACCAUGCCAAAAACAUUCAUGUCUCCAAUUGCGUUUGAAUCCUCCAAACCCUUCCCUUUACUUUCUUGCAAGUUGCAUGCUUUAAUUUCCGCUCCCUAUAUACUCUUUGCAUGCUUGCUUGAAUUGUGUGAUGAUCGCUUGACUUGUCCUAAAGUAGCUAAAAUCUGCCAAACUCUAAAAUUGGGAAAAGGUUAAGUUUUUAUUGGUCAAGUAGUCUAAUCACCCCCCCUCUAGACAUACUUCAAGGUCCUACAUCUGCCUUACGUUCCGCUCUAUCGGCUAACACGGCACCAGGAGAACUACUGCGAUUGUACCCCGGUUCGGCUUGGUGAGCACCUCAGUAGAGAAAGCCGAAAACUAACUGUCAUGAUAUAGCGAGAGACUGGUCAACCACUCGAUGGACCACCGGAAUGUUUAGAAUUCCUCCGCUUUAACUAAGGACCGUUUCCCGGUCAGGCACAUACGCGCCCCGAAUUCGGAGAGCGCGGUGCCCCUAGGGGCUAUAUAGUAGCCCCACCAUCGAACACCUAUGGCUAAGUGAAAGUGAUAAAGCAUUAUAGUCCGGUUGCCUAGUUUGCUACGCUAUCACCUCCUUCAUAGGACCAAGACGUAGGAUUAAGUGUGGAAAUGCGCUUUUUUGCAAACGCCCCCGCACUAUGUGCGUGGGGGCUGAAGCCGAAGACUGCCAUCUUUCAGGUUAUAUACACAUAUACAUUAACGGCCGCAUAGGAGGUAUUUCAGUACUUGAACGCACAAGUAUAAAAAGCCUUUACAUUAUAUUUGAAACAUAGUUUCAUAAAUCAUACAUGUCAUUUGAACACAAUAUUCUUCGAGCACUGCGUCUCUUUUAAACGAGUGCCCUGCAGGACUUCCUCAAAAUAGUGCUCGGCGGGUACUCGGCUUCUGUCCGAAUCCUGGGAUGCAACGUCGGUGGCCUUCAUCUCUGCCCAGUAUGUUUUGACACGGGCAAGAGCCAUCCGCGCACCUUCUAUGCAUGCCGACCGCUUCAUUGCAUCGAUAUGCGGCACCGCAUCAAGGAACUGCUGCACCAAGCCAAAAUAACUCUUCGGCUCGGGCCUUUUCGGCCACAAAUGAGUCACGACAUCCUUCAUGGCAAGUCCGGACAACCUAUUCAGCUCAGCCCAUUCGGCUAACCGAUCGGUUAAUGGAAGUGGACGCUCUGGACUAUGGAACUGCGACCAAAAAAGGUCUUCCAUCCCGUGAUCCUUUUGGCCUCGGAAGUGUGCGACCACAUCUGCGGCACUCGCCGCCAAAUCCAGAUAAGCAUCCUCCGCACCCCACAGCUGGCCCAACUGAGCAUACUUCGGAUUCGUGAACUUCCUACGCUGCAGAAAGGGCUUUCCAGCCGCAAUAUCCCCGGCUUGAUGUAGCUCCUUCUUUAUAGCUCUCAUCACAGAGCGCACAUCCUUGGCUUCGGCGGUGGCCUUCUUCAGGUCCUCUUGCUCCGCUCGGCAUUCUUUUUCAAGAAACUCGCAGCGGUCGGUAGCAUUCUUCAACUUCCCAACCAUCUCGGCCAUUUCCUCCCUGCUUCGGCAGUGAGCAGCCUGUUCGGCUUUUAGCUCCUCGGCCUCCCUCAAGGCAGCCGCAUCACUUUUUCUGGCUUGCUCCUUGACUCGGGCUAGCUCCGCCCGAAGGUUCUCCAUAGCAGCGGCACCAUCUGCAUAAAGCAUACAUGUUGUAAGGCAUGAGCGUUAAGCUCCCUUACCAGGUGUCCACAGAGAAGUUGCAUACCUUGUGACUCGUCAAGCCGCUUAUUGACAAGCGCGAUGUCUGCAUUCCCCAUGUCAAGUUGCCACUUCAGUUCGGCAAAGUGAUCAGUCCGGUUGGCCACCGGACGCUCCGCCACAUAUAUAGGACAGGCGACAUCUUAAAAACUGAGAUUAUGAUCCUCGGCCCGCUGUCACUUUCGACAACGUACCGAGUCUCAGGGGCUACUAUCUAUACAGAGCGCAUUCUAUAUGCAAAACUGUCAGGAGGUAUAUCAUUUUCGCGUACCUCAAACCCCGUCAGUAAACUUCGGACGGCUUCACGCAAUCCGCUCUCAGCGGAUGAAAUCCUUUCAAUCACCGUACCCAUUAACGCACAGUGAUCUUCUAAGAUAGACGCUCGCCCGAGCAGAUACCUCAGCUCCUCCGACCGUACACCAGUCGGUGCCGGCCCCGCCGAACUCGGGGAAACCCUCUGCGACGACACUUCAGGGUCGUCCACCCCACCUGACGGUGCGGCAGAUGGAGGCGUUUCACUCUCCAUCAUCUCCGGAUGAAGAUCCCCCGAAGAUGAGCUCUACUGAGAAGGGUUGAGAUAUGAACUACAAGGUAAAACUUCGGUUAUCUACAGAAAUAAAAACAGGGAUGUCCCUUAUUACAAAACUCCCCUUUCUACUUACGGCUUGCUGGAGGGCUGAUUCCCUUGGGGAAAUAAUGCGGCCGAGGCCUCUCCUGGCGCAGGACCCUCUGGUGAAGAUUUCUUCCCCCGCUUUGAGGCCUUGGCCUCCGGAUCUUCAGAAGCGGUCCUCUUCUCCCCCUGGAGGGAGGGAUUCUCGAUCCCCCCUCCCUUGAAAGCCUCCUUCGCAGAGGCAGUAAUUUCCUUGUUCCCCCCUUUGCCCUCUUCCAAAGGCGCAGCCUCCAGCAUCUUGGUUAACACUGGAUCUGGCGUGGUCUCGGGGAGGGGGGCCGGACACCUUAUUAGUUUUGCAUUCGCUACCCACUCCUGUUCAAGGGACAACUCUUUAAAGGGCAAGUUUAUGAUAAAUGUAUGGAUAGCGUUUCUGGGCACAGGACUACUUACUUGAGUAUCCGGGAAAUUGCAGCUCAGACCUGCGUCCUCGGUCAAGUCCGGACACAUCUCUUGUGAUCCGAAGAACAGUUUAUACAUCUCCACGGGCGUCGCGCCCAUGAAGUGUUGGAGAGCUCGUGGUCCCUCCGGAUUAAAUUCCCACAGGCGGAGGGGGCGACGUUUGCAGGGCAGAAUGCGCCGAAUCAGCAUGACCUGCGCCACUACGACCAGAUUGAUCUCUCUCUCUUGGAGGUCUCGAAUACGGCCCUGCAGCAGAGGUACGUCCUUGAACGGCCCCCAGUCAAGUCCUUUGUUGACCCAUGACGCCAGCCGUUGUGGAGGACCCGAGCAGAAGGUAGGUGGCACCACCCAUUUGGUGCCCCUGGGAGCGGUGAUGUAAAACCACUCCCGUUGCCACAAACCAAGCUCCUCUUGAAAAGAGCCCUCGGGCCAUGGAGCGUCAACAUUCUUGCUUAUAACAACCCCUCCGCACUCUACCUGCUUCCCCUUGAUCAUCUUCGGCUCCACUUUGAAGGUCUUGAGCCACAAUCCGAAGUGAGGGGUAAUGCGGAGGAAGGCUUCACAUACGACAAUGAACGAUGAGAUGUGGAGGAUGGACUCCGGAUCCAAGUCGUGGAAUUCCAACCCAUAAUAAAACAUGAGCUCCCUCACGAAGGGGUCCGUCAGGAAGGCUAAACCCUGAAGGAAGUGAGACAUGAACACGAUGCUCUCACCAGUCUCGGGAGUAGGAAUAACCUGCCCUUGGGCAGGCAGCCUAUGUGAAAUUUCACCGAUUAGAUACCUAGCGUCUCUCAGCUUUAGCACGUCUUCUUCCAUGACGGAGGAAGGCAUCCACCGGCCUUGCAGGUCGGAGCCGGACAUUGUCGAAGGUCCAAAGCGCCUGAAUCUGGAGCUUUGGGUGUUGGAACUCGAGGCGAGGGGCGGACUCGAUUGAGAUUGAAAGAAAGGAGCAGGCCUUGGUCUUGUUAUAAAGAGGUUGAAUACCAAGAGCCCCCCCGUGGCCGUUUGGGACUCGCCUUCGAUAGAGGGGGCGUGCCAACGGGCGCGGUUGGGUUACCCACGCCCGUAUUGAUGAGAAUCCCGGAAUAAGGGGACACGAUCUCUGCUUUGACAAGACGUGCCAAGGAAACCGCUUCGCUAAACGCGCUGAGGUGGAACAAUAAAAACAAUUCGAAUAAAGGCCUGGCCAUGAUGUGAUGCCACGCCACGGAAUACGUCAGCAGAUUGAACUUGUGUAAAUAUUAUUCUCUCUACGGUGGUAUGUGGAACUUAUUUUGCAGAGCCGGGCACUAUCCUGGUGUUCAAAAAUCUUCUAUGAAGUAUUCGGAGGAGGAACCCGCCUUGCAAUGCCGAAGACAAUAUGCGUGCUGGACUUGUCGUCAUCGAAGCCUGGUUCAGGGGCUACUGAGGGAGUCCUGGACUAGGGGGUGUCCGGAUAGCCAAACUAUCAUCUUUGGCUGGACUCCAAGACUAUGAAGAUACAAGAUUGAAGACUCCGUCCCGUGUCCGGAUGGGACUUUCCUUGGCAUGGAGGGCAAGCUUGGCGAUACGGAUAUGUAGAUCUCCUACCAUUGUAACCGACUCUGUGUAACCCUAGCCCUCUACCAUGUCUAUAUAAACCAGAGGGUUUUAGUCCGUAGGACGAACAACAAUCAUACCAUAGGCUAGCUUCUAGGGUUUAGCCUCUCUGAUCUCAUGGUAGAUCUACUCUUGUACUACCCAUAUCAUCAAUAUUAAUCAAGCAGGAGUAGGGUUUUACCUCCACAGAGAGGGCCCGAACCUGGGUAAAAACAUCGUGCCCCUUGUCUCAUGUUACCAUCCGCCUAGACGCACAGUUCGGGACCCCCUACCCGAGAUCCGCCAGUUUUGACACCGACAACGCCUAAUGCUAGUUGUUGUUUUCUGCAUGUUUGUUACAUCGCAGGAAAUCAAUACCAAACGGAGUCCAAACGCAGUGAAACAUUUUGAGGAUUUUUUUGGGGAAAGAAGACAUCCAGUGGGCCAAGGCUGCACCUAUGGGUUGCCUUAAGGAGGGCAGCACCCACCAGGGCGCGCCAGGCGGCCCAGGCGCACUCUGGUGGGUUGUGCCCACCUCGGGUGCCCCUUAAAUCGCCUCCUUGCUCUAUAAAUACCCCAAUAUUCCAGAAACCCUAGGGGAGUCGACGAAAAUCAAUUCCAGUUGCCGCAGAGUCCAGAACCACCAGAUCCAAUCUAGACACCAUCACGGAGGGGUUCACCACUUCCAUUGGUGCCUCUCCGAUGAUGCGUGAGUAGUUCUUUUUAGACCUACGGGUCUGUAGUUAGUAGCUAGAUGGCUUCCUCUCUCUCUCUUGAUUGUCAAUACAAUGGUCUCUUGGAGAUCCAUAUGAUGUAAGCCUUUUUGGUUGUGUUUGUUGGGAUCCGAUGAACUUUGAGUUUAUAAUCAGAUCUAUGUUUUUAUCCAUGAAAGUUAUUUGAGUCUUCUUUGAUCUCUUAUAUGCAUGAUUGCUUAUAGCCUCGUAUUCUUCUCCGAUAUUUGGGUUUUGUUUGGCCAACUUGAUCUAUUUAUCUUGCAAUGGGAAGUGGUGCCCGGUAGUGGGUUCGAUCUUACGGUGCUUGAUCCCAAUGACAGAAAGGGAACCGACACGUAUGUAUCGUUGCUACUAAGGAUAAAAAGACGGGAUCCAUAUCUGCCGCAAUAGAUAAACGGAUCUUGUCUAUAUCAUGUCAUCGUUCUUAUUGCAUUACUCCAUUUUUCCAUGAACUUAAUACACUAGAUGCAUGCUGGAUAGCGGUCGAUGUGUGGAGUAAUAGUAGUACAUGCAGGCAGGAGUCGGUCUAGUAAUCCUGGACGUGAUGCCUAUGCAAUGAUCAUUGCCUGGAUAUCGUCAUGAUUAUUUGAAGUUCUAUCAAUUUCCCAACAGUAAUUGUUUUCCCGCCAUUUGCUAUUUUUCUCGAGAGAAGCCACUAGUGAAACCUACGGCCCCCAGGCCUCUUUUCAUCAUAUUUGCCUUUGCGAUCUAUUUUCCUUUGCAUUUAUUUUUCAGAUCUAUUAAACCAAAAAUAAAAAAAAACCUUGCUGCAAUUUAUUUGUUCCACGAUCUAUUUAUCCUAUCUACCACUUUUACCUCACAUUAUUUGCCUAUCUUGAGGCGUUGUACCCGAAAGGGAUUGACAACCCCUUUAACACGUCGGGUUGCGAGUAUUUGUUAUUUGUGUGCAGGUGCUGUUUACGUGGUGUGAGGAGGUUCUCCUACUGGUUUGAUAACCUUGGUCUCAUCACUGAGGGAAAUACCUACCGUCGCUAUACUGCAUCAUCCCUUCCUCUUUGGGGAAAUACCGACGUAGUUCUAGCAGACAUCAUACCUGCACACAAAACACAAAACAAACUUAUCCCCAACAAGUCAAAAAGGUUGUCAAGCUUCUUUUUUUUGUGGGGAAUAGGGUGUUUUUAUUACUCAAUCAAAGGGCAGUCCGCCUUACAAAGUUCUCGAACAACACCAAGACCCGAUCAAAUCCACAAAGCAGUGCGAACCUCACAUCUACCAAAAUUAGCUAAAAAAUGACUGACAACAUUUUGAUCACGCUUCACAUGCGUGAUCUUCACCUCUCGGCCCUCCUACAGGGAUUUCGAGAUAGUAUCCACCAUCAUGGUGUAUCUCGAGUGUCCUGCCAGCCCUUGAGAAAUCAGAUUCUUCACCUCGAGACAAGUCGGUUCUCCACAACAAUCGAUAGUGUAGUCCAUUGCAAGGCAAACGCGACCCCAUCCUUAUAGGUUGAGAGCUCCACCUCUAGCACAUCCGCACAUGAACUCAAGUAUCGACAAGCUGAGAAAAUGAUGGCUCCUAUAUCAUCACGCAAGAUCAUUCCUGCUCCAGCCGUAGCAUCCGCAUCAUAGAAGUACCCAUCAACUGAUAGUUUGGUCCAUCCGGCUGGUGGUGGAGACCAAACAAGCCUCGACUGAUGCUCCUUCUCACCCUUGGGUGUUAGCACUUGCUUCCCAUGUGGUAAGACCACCACUUUUCCCUUCACGUGGUCCACCUUUGGAUAUUGUUGAAUGCUCUAGAGUGUGUUGACGUAGCUAAGAAGAAAGCACAUGGAAGAUUCACUAUCCGAUGGCUUCUUGGUGUGGACGAUUUCAUUCCACACAUGCCAACACCUCCAUAAAGUCAUCAAGAGGCACAUGCGAUCAUGAUCCGAGAGAUCCGCGAGCACCAGAAGCAGCCACUCCGGGCCCUCGUCUCUCACAGUGUGCACGUCCGGGAUAUUCCAAUGUUCCACCAUAGUUUGCCACAACGCGACCGCCCUCGGGCACCUGCAAAAUGCGUGAUAUGUAUCCUCCCGCCCGGUCAUACAAAUGAGACAAACAUCAGAUACUUCAAGAGUUCGGUGAUGCUUAUUUUCCCAAGUAGGGAGGGAAUUAGUAGCCAGCUGCCAUGCAAAGACACACACCUUCGGAGGAGCAGGGCACCUCCAUAAAUAAUCCCAGAUGGCUCGUCGCUCGCCCGGUGCCCUACUCGCUUCGACUGAAGAUGGUCGAAGGCGCUCGUUGAGGCCCAAUUGAUAAGCUCUCCAAACAGUAAAGACUCCAGAAUGCUCUAGUUCCCAUGCAAAACAUCAUCACUGAGCCUUGGUGAGGUACGAAUCUUGAGAAUAGCAUCAAUAUCUGGAGUAAAAAACCAACGAUGAAGGAGAUCCAACCGCCAAUUGCCAUGUUCAUCCAACAACUGGUCCACACGGCGAAGACGACACCUUGCCCGAGGAGAAAUUGGCAUGACAGGUUCCCCUCGUUGAAUCCACUGAUCGUGCCAUAUGCGGAUGGAUGCAUCGUUUACUACCCGCCAAAUAAUUCCCUUUUCAACAUUUCAAGUCCGUGCACAAUUGAUUGCCAAGUCAUCAAAGCAUUUCCGGAGAACAUAGUAUCGAGCAUGUCCCUAUUUAGAAAAUAGUGUGCUUUUAGGACAUGCGCACAUAAACUAUCUGGGAUUGUGAGGAUACACCACGCCUGCCAGGCAAGUAAAGCUUGGUUGAAAAUUCUCAUAUCUUUGAAUCCCAUUCCACCAUGUGACUUUGGUUGAUUAAAUCCUUCCAUGCACACCAAUGCAUUUUUCUCCUACCUUUUGCUACCCCAUGAAAGUGCAACUAUCCCUAGGUGGUUUUGGUAAUGAUUAACGACAUAUAGCUCAUUGAACUAAUGCCAUCUCAAGAUAAAUAUUUCAGGGAAGUUCAAUGAUUGGCAUGGCAUGGAUUAGGAUUGUGGACCCCUCAAAAUGCUAGGACAAAAGAUUGGCUCAAGCUCUAAAGUCCAAGACUCUACAUUUUCUAUUUAGUGAUCCAAGAUCACAUUGAGUCUAUAGGAAAGCCAAUACUAUUAAAAGGGGAUGAGGUGUUGCUUAAUGGCUUGCUUGCUCAAAAUGCUUAGUGAUAUGCUCCAAAAGCCCUCAACCACUUUCUCAUAUCCACAUAUGUCCCAAAUCAAAAGUCAAACUCGGCCCCACCGAUUUGAUUCAUCCGGUGCCACCGAGUUCAUUUGACAUAGCCAGUGCUAGAAACCCUAGUCACUUCGGUCUCACUGAUAUGGAUCUCGGUCUCAUCGAGAUGAGGUUGCAAACUCUCUAUUUCCCUUCAUAACGUUUCGGUCUAACCGAGAUGAGCAAUCGGUUCCAUCGAGUCUGCAAUGCAAACUCUUUGUUUCCCUUUCGUAACGCUUUGGUCCCACCAAGACGAGCGAAUUGGUCCCAUAGAGUUUGCCUGAGCAACUCUCUGGUUAGCUUAUUACCGAAGUUGGUCCAACCGAGUUUGUGUAAUCGGUCCAACCGAGAUUACGUUAUGCCCUAACCCUAAUGAUAUCGGUCCCACCGAGUUGACAUGUUGGUCCCAUCGAAAUUGCCUAACGGUCACAUAUGUACAGAAUCGGUCCGACCGGGUUUUCUGAUUGGUCCCACCGAGUUUGGUAUAUUGUGUGUAACGGUUAGAUUUUGUGUGGAGGCUAUAUACACCCCUCCACCCUCUUAUCAUUCGUGGGGGAAGCCAUCAGAACGUGCCUACACUUCCACUACUCAUUUUCUGAGAGAAAGCCACCUACUCAUGUGUUGAGACCAAGAUAUUCCAAUCCAACCAUAUGAAUCUUGGUCUCUAGCCUUCCCCAAGUUGCUUUCCACUCAAAUCAUCUUUCCACCAAAUCCAAUCCUAUGAGAGUGGGUUGAGUGUUGGGGAGGCUAUCAUUUGAAGCACAAGAGCAAGGAUUUUAUCACCAACACACCACUAUUACCUUUUGGAGAGUGGUGUCUCCUAGAUUGGUUAGGUGUCACUUGGGAGCCUCCGACAAGAUUGUGGAGUUGAAUCAAGGAGUUUGUAAGGGCAAGGAGAUCGCCUACUUCGUGAAGAUCUACCCUAGUGAAGCAAGUCCUUCGUGGGUGAUGGCCAUGGUGGGAUAGACAAGGUUGCUUCUUCGUGGACCCUUCGUGGGUGGAGCUCUCCGUGGACUCGCGCAACUGUUACCCUUCGUGGGUUGAAGUCUCCAUCAACGUGGAUGUACAAUAGCACCACCUAUCGGAACCACGCCAAAACAUCCGUGUCUCCUAUUGUGUUUGCACUCUCCAAACCCAUCCCUUUACAUUCUUGCAAGUUGCAUGCUUUACUUUCCGCUGCUUAUAUACUCUUUGCAUGCUUGCUUGAAUAGUGUUAAGAUUGCUUGACUUGUUCUAAAUUGUUAAAACCUGCCAAGAACUAAAAUUGGGAAAAGGUUAAGUUUAAUUUGGUCAAGUAGUCUAAUCACCCCCCCUCUAGACAUACUUUCGAUCCUACACCCCACCAGUAGUUUCGAAGCAUACUAGUAAUAUCAUCACAUGUAGCAGUCGGUAACCUAAAAACACUCAUCAAAUAUGUUGGCAAGGCCUGGCCUACUAAUUUGAUUGUUACCUCUCGUCCACUUUGAGCUAGUUGAGAAUCCCCCCACAACAAAAGAUUAUAUGUGAGUCUCUCUUGAAGGUUUUGACAUACGCCCUUGUGGAGUUGGGAGCCGAGAUAUUUUUCCUCGAACUGAACAUUCUGCACUUGUAAUAGUUGAACCACCUCCUCACGAUCUGAAUUCCUACAGUGUUCUCCAAACAAAAUAGAACAUUUAGCAGGGUCGAUCAAUUGUCCCAUAGCUCAAGCAUAUGAAUUAAGGACCCCUCGGAUGCUCGUAGCCUCUCUUGUCGUGGCACGAAAGAAAACAAUGUGUCAUCCGCAAAUAGCAAAUGGGAUAUUCCGGGCGUCCGCGGACAUGCACGAAGUGGAGUAAUAUGCAUAUUGUCAACAUUCUGUCUCAAUAAAGCAGCAAGACCAUCAGCAAUAAAGAGAAACAAAAAAGGCAAAAGAGGAUCUCCCUGCCGAAGGCCACACUUCGGUGCAAAUGAAUCUGAGAGGGCUCCAUUAACAUUAACCUUGUAUCUCACGGUGGUGACACAUGACAUUAUCCACUACACCCACCGAUGAGCAAAGCCCACAUGUUGCAUCACUCGCUCCAAGAAGAUCCAAUCCACACGAUCAUAAGCUUUAGAUAAAUGAAGCUUAUAUGCACAUAACUCCUAUUCGGGUCCUUCUCUUGCUUGAUAAAAUGAGUACACUCAAAGGCCAUAAACGCAUUAUCAGUAAUCAACCUACCAGACACGAAUGCACUCUGUUCUGGGGAGAUAAUGUCAUCAAGCUGAGGUCGAAGGCGAUUAACGAGACACUUGGAGAUGAUCUUGUACACCACAUUGCAUAGGUUGAUAGGAUGAAACUCAGUCAUCUUUGUUGGGUUGUCCACCUUAGGGAUGAGGACGAUGGUCGUGGUGUUGACGCCUUGGGGCAUUUGACCUAUAUCAGAAAACAUUUGAACUAUAGCAACAAUAUCCAUUUUAAGAGCAGCCCAAUGACGCUAAAAAAAUCUUACUGGGAAGCCAUCCGGCCCCCGUGCCUUAAGCGGUCCCAUCUGAAAGAUCACAUCGGAUAUUUUCUUUUCUGAAAAAGGUUGACAAAGCUUCUCAUUCAUAUCAUCAGUAAUUAACUUCUCAAAUAGGUGGACUACAUCCUCUUGAUUUAAUCGGUUUCUGCCUAAAUUUUUUGCUGAAAAUACUCCAUAGCUAGUCGGCCCGUACCUGCUUGGUCAUCACAUUUUACACCCUCAUCAUUAACCAGAUAUUUUAUCUUAUUUUUUCCUAGCUCGCCACCCGCUUUCUGCUGAAAGAAAUUUGUGUUUCGGUCACCUUCCUUAAGCUAGUCAAUCUGUGAUCUCUGCCUCCAAAGCAUCUCCUCUAUGUAAAGGAGUUCGUUCAUAUGAUCCGCUUCCUUCCUAAUUUUUUUACAAUCUGCAUUCAUGUUCAUUAGUUCCUCCAAUCGCGACCAUGACUUUUCUAGCUCCCUUGUGACAUUCCCAAACUUUUUUCAGCUCAAACCUUGAAGCUUUUUCAUAACCAAACUGAGUGCCUUGCUAACAUCAUCCAUCCCAUGGAUCGCACAUUGGUACUUCCAUGCUUUAUCCACUACAUCAUUAAUCCCCAGUCCCUAUCCCACAUGACUUCAUACCUACAAGAUCUCCUCGGCCUAUCAUUGCUCUACUAUACACAUAGCACAAGGAUAGGCCAGUGAUCUGAACAUGGUGAAACCAAGUGUUGUACCGCUGCAUCAGAGAAAAUGUUACGCCAUCCAAGAUCAACCACCGCUCUAUCAAGUCUUACCUGCACAUUUGCGUUGCCACUCCUACCAUUAUCAUAUGUGUAGGGAUAUCCAGAGAACCCCAGAUCAGCUAAUCCACAAGUAUCAAGCAUAUCUCAAAAGGCCAACAUCUGAGAUGGUGAAAGCACAUUUGCUCCCCGGGUGGUUUUGGUAAUUAAUGACAACAUACUUUGUGGUUGGACUAAUGCUUUUAUCAAGUAUGUUUCAGGAAAUUCAAUCACAUUGGCAUGGCAAAAGGACUAAAGAAGUGGACCCCUCAAAAUGCUAAGGCAAGCAUUGGCAAAAGCUCAGCUAAGGCAAGCAUUGGCAAAAGCUCAAGACUCCAUUUUUGGUUUAGUGAUCCAAGAUCACAUUGAGUCCAUAGGAAAAGCCAAUACUAUUAAAAGGGGAUGAGGUUAUGAUGAUGAUCUGGUUGCUCAAGUGCUUAGUGAUACAUCUCCUAAACUAUCAGCAACUUUCACUGCCAUAUACACUCAUAAGUAGUCUCGGUCCCACCGAUAUUCCAAACUCAGUCACACCGAGAUGAACCACCUCAGCCAUAAGCCAAACCCUAGUAAACUCGGAUUUUCCGAUUCUGAACUCGGUCUCACCGAAACAUGAGUUGCCAAGCUUCUGUAACCUUCUGUCAUCAAAUCGGUGUCACCGAGAUGAUGAAGUCGGUCCCACCGAAACUAGCAUGCUCUUGUCAUUGCACGAAUCGGACUAACCGAGAUUGUAUAUUCGGUCCCACCAAAAAUCCCAACGUUCACAUUAUUUGAACUAUCGGUCUCACCGAGUUGUCCACUUCGGUCCCACCGAGAUUGCUCAAAUGUGUGUAACAGUUGGAUUUUGUGUGGAGGCUAUUUAUACCCCUCCACCCCCUCUUCAUUCGUGGAGAGAGCCAUCAGAAAGAACUACCACUCCUACCUUAUAUUUCUGAGAAGAGAACUACCUACCCUUGUGUUGAGAUCAAGUUGCUCCACUCCCACCAUAUGAAGCUUGAUCUCUAGCCUUCCCAAGUUGCUUUCCACUCAAUCCUUUCUUCCACCACAGCCAAAUCAGUGAGGAGAGUUGAGUGUUGGGGAGAUUAUCAUUUGAAGCACAAGAGCAAGGAGUUCAUCAUCAUCUACAACAUCUAUUACCUUUUGGAGGGUGGUGCCUCCUAGAUUGGUUAGGUGUCGCUUGGGAGCCUCCGUCAUCGAGAUGUGGAGUUGAACCAAGAAGUUUGUAAGGGCAAGGAGAUCGCCUACUUCGUGAAGAUCUACCCCGAGUAAGGCUAGCCCUCCGUGGGCGUAGGCCAUGAUGGAAUAGACAAGGUUGCUUCUUCGUGGACCCUUCGUGGGUGGAGCCCUCCGUGGACUCUCGCAGCCGUUACCCUCCGUGGGUUGAAGUCUCCAUCAACGUGGAAGUACGAUAGCACCACCUAUCGGAACCAUGAGAAAAAUCACCGCGUCUCCAAAUUGCGUUUGAUCUUCUCCACUUCUCUUUACUACUUGUGCAAUUUACUUUCCGCUGCCCAUACUCUAGAAUUGCACGUGUAGUGUGCUACUUGACUUGUGUGUUAUGCAAAAUCUGCCAAAAUCUGUUCUUAAUAAAAGACAGAAUUUUUAUCUUGUCGAGUAGUCUAAUCACCCCCCCUCUAGACACUCUCACCUUCUUCGAUCCCUCAAUUGGUAUCAGAGCUUUGGUCUCCAUUGCUUUGGUUUACACACCAUUGGAGGAAGAUGGACAUGUCUAUGUUUGGGAGUGUUAGCCAUAGAGUGCCUAUUCUUAAUGGAGUGUCCUAUAACUCGUGGAGGAUUGAAAUGCUUAUUAUCUUUAAUACUUACAACUUGCGCAAAUAUGUUGAGACCCCCUAUGUGCCUCCAUUUGACCCCUUGCACCCUACCAUGGAUGAAGAGCUUGAUUUGCUUCGUAACCUUAGGACUGUAAAUCUUAUCAUUAGAGGGUUACCCGAUAACUUGCUUAAGCUCGUUACAAACUUUGAGUGCGCCUAUGCUAUGUGGAAGUUCUUGGAAGAACUUUAUCCGGACUACUCUUUGAGAGGUCUUGAUGAAAUUCUAUACAAGACUAUUGAAUUUGAUAUGAUGCGCCCCAAUGAUCCCAACUUUGAUAAAUGCUUCUUUGAGCUUCGUGAUCUUAUGAAAAAGAAGGGUGAUCCCGGUCUUAUCAAUGUUCUAAUUAGAAAUGCUCUUGUAUUGCAUUCCGAUGAUUAUUGUCACAUUGACAAAACUAAUGCAAGUAGUUAUCAAAUUGACCUAGGUGUUGAUGAUGAACAAUCUAUGGGUCGAUAUGAUGAUGGGCAUGAGCAUGAUGAUGAUCACUCCGAUUCGGACACCGAGCUAGACAAGAUCAUGAAGAGUCUCAACCUUAUGGCAAAUCUGAGAGACUACAUAUCCGGCGGAAAAGAGUGGAUUCUUGAUAGUGGAUGCACCGACCACAUGACCGGAGACAAAGACAUGUUUCGAGAGCUUGCAAAGAACGAUGGUCCACGCAAGUAUGUGACUUUUGGAGACAACUCCAAGGGUAAGGUACUUGGCCUUGGUAAGGUGGCCAUAUCUCAUGAUAGCUCUAUUCAAAAUGUCAUGCUUGUAGAAUCUCUUGGAUACAAUUUACUUUCCGUGUCUAGAUUAGCUGACUUUGGAUUCAAUGUGCUAUUCACCGAAGUAGAUUGCCAAGUCUUUCGUCGUGACAAUCAUAACAUGGCGUUUACCGGUAUCCGCAGAGGUGAUCUAUAUAUUGUUGAUUUCACUAAGAAAGCCCAACCUAGAGCUUGCUUCAUUACUAAAUCAGCUAAAGGUUGGUUAUGGCAUAGAAGGCUUGGACAUGUUGGUAUGCGUAAUUUAGACAAGCUGAUCAAAGGUGAUCAUAUUCUUGGCGUUAAAGAUGUUUUCUUUGACAAAGAUAGACUUUGUAGUGCUUGUCAAGCAGGAAAACAAGUAGGUGGAAGUCAUCCCGUGAAGAACAUCAUGACCACAAGGAGACCGCUUGAGCUUCUUCAUAUGGAUCUCUUUGGUCCCAAUGCUUACAAAAGCCUUGGUGGUAACUCCUUUGGUCUAGUUAUAGUUGAUGAUUAUUCCAGAUUUAUGUGGGUAUUUUUCCUUGAUGACAAAUCGCAGGUUCAGAGGAUCUUCAAAACCUUUGCCAGAAAGGCCCAAAAUCAAUUUGAGGUGAAGAUCAAGAAAGUUCGGAGUGACAAUGGAACGGAGUUCAAGAACGCUAAUGUAGACUCUUUUCUCGAUGAGGAAGGGAUUCUACAUGAGUUCUCGGCUACGUACACUCCUCAACAAAAUGGAGUUGUUGAGAGGAAGAACCGAACGCUCAUAGAGAUGGCGAGAACGAUGCUUGAUGAAUACAAGACACCGAAGCAUUUUUGGGGGGAAGCGGUCGAGACAGCUUGUCAUGCUAUCAACAGGCUUUAUCUUCAUAAGCUCCUCGGCAAGACAUCAUACGAGCUCCUCACCGGUAACAAACCCCAAGUGGGAUACUUUCGUGUCUUUGGUUCAAAAUGUUAUAUCCUUGAUAAGCAUCGUCGGUCUAAAUUUGCUCCUAAAACUCAUGAAGGCUUUUUCCUUGGUUAUGGAUCAAACUCCCACACCUACCGUGUCUACAAUAAUUUCACCCGAAAGGUUGAAGAGACGGUAGACGUGAAGUUUGAUGAAUCUAAUGGCUCGCAAGUAGAGCAAAUGCCUAUUGAUGUAGGAGACAAGGACCCAUCAGAAGCUAUCCAAGAUUUAUCUAUUGGAAAGAUCCGUCCCAUGGAAGUGAAGGAGAGUACCUCAUCUACAUAUGUGGAGCCCCCUACCUCACGGCGAGAUGAACCUCAAGGCAACAUGGAGGCCUCCACAAGUGGAACUCACCAAGAUGAGGAAGUGCAACAAGAAGAUCCACCACAACCUCCUUCUCCACCGCCUCAAGACAACACCAACAACAAUGAAGAAGAAGAAGAGGAAGAUGAAGAUGAUGAGGAAGCUCAGCCACAACCUCAACAAAAGCUAUCCUGAGUCUGAGCAAGAGUCAAGAAAAAUCAUCCCGUGGAACAAAUGAUGAACGACAUCAACUCCGGGAGAAUUACUCGCUCUAAAACUCGCUUAGCUAACUUUUGUGAGCAUUACUCAUUUAUCUCUAGUAUUGAACCUAUGAAGGUAGAAGAAGCACUUGAAGACCCGGAUUGGGUGAACGCUAUGCACGAAGAGCUACACAACUUCGAGAGGAACAAUGUAUGGACUUUGGUAGAGAAGCCCAAGGAUGAUCAAAACGUCAUUGGAACCAAAUGGGUGUUUCGGAACAAGCAAGAUGAAGAUGGACAAGUCAUCCUCAACAAGGCUCGUCUCGUAGCUCAAGGUUACACACAAGUCGAAGGUAUGGACUAUGGUGAGACCUAUGCCCCCGUUGCUAGACUUGAGUCCAUUCGCAUUCUUCUUGCUUUUGCCAAUCACCAUGAUAUUACUCUCUAUCAAAUGGAUAUCAAAAGUGCUUUCCUAAAUGGUGAAAUUGAGGAGGAAGUAUUUGUGAAACAACCUCCCGGAUUUGUGAAUCCCAAAAAGCCUAAUCAUGUUUACAAGUUGCACAAAGCUCUUUAUGGUCUUAAACAAGCUCCUAGAGCUUGGUACAAAUGCUUGACUAGCUUUCUUCUUGAAAAAGGCUUUGAGAUUGGAAAGAUAGACUCAACGCUGUUCACGAAAAGGGUUGAUGGUGAACUAUUUGUGUGCCAAAUAUAUGUUGAUGAUAUUAUCUUUGGUUCAACUAACCCUCAUUUUAGCGAGAAGUUUGGAAAGCUCAUGUCGGAGAAGUAUGAGAUGUCCAUGAUGAGUGAACUCAAAUUCUUCCUUGGGUUGCAAAUCAAGCAAUCUAAGGAGGGUACCUUUGUCUCACAAACAAAGUACACCAAGGAUCUCUUCAAGAAGUUCAACAUGCAAGAAAGCAAAGGUAUGAGAACCCCCAUGCCUACAAGUGGACAUAAUGACUUGACAAAAGAUGGAGAACCCGUUGAUCAAAAGGUUUACCGAUCUAUGAUUGGUUCUCUACUAUAUCUUUGUGCUUCUCGUCCUGACAUAAUGUUGAGUGUAUGCAUGUGUGCUCGAUAUCAAGAAGCCCCUAAAGAAUGUCAUCUUAAAGCUGUUAAAAGGAUUGUGAGAUAUUUGAUACACACACCAAACUUUGGCAUUUGGUAUCCUAAGAGGGCCUCUUUCGACCUUGUUGGCUAUUCCGACUCGGACUAUGCCGGAGAUAGGGUUGAUAGAAAGUCAACUUCGGGUACGUGUCAAUUCCUUGGUCGAUCCCUUGUAUCUUGGUCCUCCAAGAAACAAAAUUCGGUAUCAUUAUCCACUGCCGAAGCGGAAUAUAUUGCUGCUGGUUCGUGUUGUGCUCAAUUACUAUGGAUGACACAAACGCUUAAGGAUUAUGGGAUACAUGUGAGACAUGUUCCCUUGCUUUGUGACAAUGAGAGUGCGAUUAAAAUUGGACACAAUCCCGUGCAACACUCUUGAACGAAACAUAUUGAAGUUCGUCACCAUUUCAUUCGUGAUCACAUUGCCAAGGGUGACAUCAAUCUUAAGCAUGUUCGUACUGACAAACAACUCGCUGAUAUCUUUACAAAACCUCUUGAUGAGAAGGUGUUUUGUCACUUAAGGAGUGAGUUGAACAUCAUUGAUGCUUCAAACUUGGAGUGAGAACUCCAUUGAUGCAUGCAAGGCAUGAGCCCACUUGACUAAUCCUUGAUAUUUCUCUUAUGAUGGUAAUCAUAUAUCUUGGACACAUUUGCCUCCUUGUAUUGCAUCUAACUCCUUGCAGGUACUUGGAUGAUCUACAUUCCACAAGAUUACCACACACUCAAAUCAUGAGUAAUCUUGUCAUUGACCAAGUAUCUAGCCCUUUUGGGAUGUUGAGUUCAAGGAACAAAAUUCCACAUAUCCUUUUUGACAUCUUAUACAUCUAGUAUUUCACUCUUGUCAUCUUGGAUAUCCUUGAGUAUUUCCUUGCUUGCCUAACCCAUGUAGGAAGAUGAACUACACAAGUGGAAAUGGCGCUCCAACUUCACAUUCAAUGAGCACCUACAUCAAGUUCACCUACAUGAACAAAGCAACAACAAGCCCAAGGUAUGUUCUUCACAUCUUUAAGGAGCUUUGCUCAAAGUCAUGAGUACAAGCAGCUUCAUAAGAUGUGAUCACAUCGAAUGCCUAAUCGAAAAAUGGCAACCCCAUUUUGAGCUUAAAUGAUGAGUAUGACCUAUGAUCAAAUGUCCUCAUUUGACUCCUAAGUCAAUAUACUCAAACAUAGGUGACCUUGUCGCCGACCUUUAUCUAGAUGAAGUACAUAUGUUUUGGAGUCUUUCUAUUUUCUCUUAUUUUCUCUCAUUGAGUUUUCAUUAAAAAAAACUUCAUCUAGGAAUCUUUUUCAUUUCUAUUCUUCUGUCUUUGUGAAUAUCCUUCUGGCUCUGAUCAAUUCCUCGAAAAUCAUUCACAAAUUCAUUGCAAAUCCUUUGAAACAUUCCUCGCAAAGUGAGAUGAAUUAUUUCUGUAUUUCCUUGAAAUUAAACUCGGCGUCACCGAUUUAACUAUUUCGGUCUAACCGAAAAGGAUCUACCCUAAGUCCCUGAUUCGGACCCACCGAUCCAUCCUAAUUCGGUGUCAUCGAUUUAUUUCUUCCAGGAUAUCAUCUUCUGCAGCUCCACUCAAUGAUUCUCUAUGCAUGUUCCUUUUUGCCCUGUUGUGAUUCUUAAGGAUCCCACUUCUUUCUUUCCAUCUUCCCUAACCUUCCUAGUUCGCUGUCCUUUUCGGCACUUGAUGUCAAAGGGGGAGAAGACUUAGGGGGAGAAGAGAAGAUUUAGGGGGAGAAGAAGAGCAAUCUUACCUUAAGGGGGAGAGAAUCACAUCAAAGCUUUGCCGUGUUUUUCCUUAUAAGAGAAUUUCUUGCCCCUUGAUCUGAGAGAACUCAAAGGGAGAGGAAUCUUCACAAUUGAUAUCUUAUGGAAAGCAAAAUCUCUCAGAGUUCAUUGAAAAUCUUUUAGUUUCGGAGACAUGUUUGCUGAUUCAAGCUUGUGCUCAAUAUGAGACACUCUUUAUACAUGUCAUCCCUGGCUUGGUACUCUUGAUGUUCUUGUAGUUAGUUGAAGAAAUACUCUUGUGUUAUCUAACCUUGUUUUCCCAAGUUUAUCUCUUCAGGUACAAUGCCAAGGAACCUCAAGGUAAGUAUAUGCACUUUGCAGAAUGUGCAUGAUGGUGACUUGCUUGUGAAUACUUGUUUGCAAGAAAUCACCAUGCACAUAUGCAUUAUCACUCACUUCUUUUCAUCUGCUCUGAUGCAUAUAGCCAAGCUGCAUGUAGCACAUCUUGCUUCUCUCUCUUGUGUGCUUGUGGUAGUCCAAAACCAUAAUUUAUGAAAAUCUUGCACACUUGUAGGGGGAGCCUGUGUACUACAUGUUUGUCAAAGCUUUCGUGAUAAUUCUGUCUUUCUUUCAAUAAGCUUUGAUGUCUUGUUUAGUGUGUUGCCAUCAAUUACCAAAAAGGGGGAGAUUGAAAGCACAUUUGCUCCCCGGGUGGUUUUGGUAAUUAAUGACAACAUACUUUGUGGUUGGACUAAUGCUUUUAUCAAGUAUGUUUCAGGAAAUUCAAUCACAUUGGCAUGGCAAAAGGACUAAAGAAGUGGACCCCUCAAAAUGCUAAGGCAAGCAUUGGCAAAAGCUCAGCUAAGGCAAGCAUUGGCAAAAGCUCAAGACUCCAUUUUUGGUUUAGUGAUCCAAGAUCACAUUGAGUCCAUAGGAAAAGCCAAUACUAUUAAAAGGGGAUGAGGUUAUGAUGAUGAUCUGGUUGCUCAAGUGCUUAGUGAUACAUCUCCUAAACUAUCAGCAACUUUCACUGCCAUAUACACUCAUAAGUAGUCUCGGUCCCACCGAUAUUCCAAACUCAGUCACACCGAGAUGAACCACCUCAACCAUAAGCCAAACCCUAGUAAACUCGGAUUUUCCGAUUCUGAACUCGGUCUCACCGAAACAUGAGUUGCCAAGCUUCUGUAACCUUCUGUCAUCAAAUCGGUGUCACCAAGAUGAUGAAGUCGGUCCCACCGAAACUAGCAUGCUCUUGUCAUUGCACGAAUCGGACUAACCGAGAUUGUAUAUUCGGUCCCACCGAAAAUCCCAACGUUCACAUUAUUUGAACUAUCGGUCUCACCGAGUUGUCCACUUCGAUCCCACCGAGAUUGCUCAAAUGUGUGUAACGGUUGGAUUUUGUGUGGAGGCUAUUUAUACCCCUCCACCCCCUCUUCAUUCGUGGAGAGAGCCAUCAGAAAGAACUACCACUCCUACCUUAUAUUUCUGAGAAGAGAACUACCUACCCUUGUGUUGAGAUCAAGUUGCUCCACUCCCACCAUAUGAAGCUUGAUCUCUAGCCUUCCCAAGUUGCUUUCCACUCAAUCCUUUCUUCCACCACAGCCAAAUCAGUGAGGAGAGUUGAGUGUUGGGGAGAUUAUCAUUUGAAGCACAAGAGCAAGGAGUUCAUCAUCAUCUACAACAUCUAUUACCUUUUGGAGGGUGGUGCCUCCUAGAUUGGUUAGGUGUCGCUUGGGAGCCUCCGUCAUCGAGAUGUGGAGUUGAACCAAGAAGUUUGUAAGGGCAAGGAGAUCGCCUACUUCGUGAAGAUCUACCCCGAGUAAGGCUAGCCCUCCGUGGGCGUAGGCCAUGAUGGAAUAGACAAGGUUGCUUCUUCGUGGACCCUUCGUGGGUGGAGCCCUCCGUGGACUCUCGCAGCCGUUACCCUCCGUGGGUUGAAGUCUCCAUCAACGUGGAAGUACGAUAGCACCACCUAUCGGAACCACGAGAAAAAUCACCGCGUCUCCAAAUUGCGUUUGAUCUUCUCCACUUCUCUUUACUACUUGUGCAAUUUACUUUCCGCUGCCCAUACUCUAGAAUUGCACGUGUAGUGUGCUACUUGACUUGUGUGUUAUGCAAAAUCUGCCAAAAUCUGUUCUUGAUAAAACAUAAUUUUUAUCUUGUCGAGUAGUCUAAUCACCCCCCCUCUAGACACUCUCACCUUCUUCGAUCCCUCAG